AUCCCAGGUAAGCUGAGAAUUGAAUAACAUUCAGUUUUGGUGCUUAGCUGAUUCAUGGGAGGCCGACAUUAAUGUUUCUGGAAAGUUUCGCUGAUAACGCCUUUUCUUGUUCAAUGAAGGCGUUUCAUUAGUAACUUCUCCCACAUUU